AUCGACAGACGCAGCACGCGUUUCUUUUUUAUAGUCGCUGGAAAAUGACGCAAGCGAGACGUAUAAAAGCGCCCGUCUCGCGCAUGACGUUCUCUUGGAGUCGUUGCUAUCGCUUGGCGAGAACCAUCUUCUCAUCAUGAGAGCGAAGUGGCGAAAGAAGCGUAUGCGCAGGCUGAAGCGUAAAAGGAGAAAGAUGAGGCAGAGGUCUAAGUAAACUGGACCCAGUUCGCUGAAGCUGAGAGUGCUCCUCUACUUCAAUCUCCUCAGCAAGAGUCUGCUGGAAGCCCAACUGAAGCUCCACUCAUCCACCAUCUAUGAGGUCUGCUUUCUUCUGAAUGAGGAUUUGGUUUCCCAUCACCUGGUUCUGCAGAAGCAUCCUGGUCUUGAUGACCAUGUGAACUGUUUUGGACAUUCCUUAGACCUGUCAGCUCAGCAAGUUUGUUAAUGUCUUCAAUAAAUCUUUUUGGUUUAAAAAUC